AUACGGAGGGGGCUAGCGUUGUUCGGAAUUACUGGGCGUAAAGCGUACGUAGGCGGACUGAUCAGUUGGGGGUGAAAUCCAGGGCUUAACCCUGGAGCUGCCUUCAAUACUGUCAGUCUUGAGAUUGGGAGAGGUGAGUGGAAUUCCUAGUGUAGAGGUGAAAUUCAUAGAUAUUAGGAGGAACACCAGUGGCGAAGGCGGCUCACUGGCCCAUUACUGACGCUGAGGUACGAAAGCGUGGGGAGCAAACAGGAUUAGAAACCCUAGUAGUCC
rnacentral:rRNA from 1 species